UAGGGUGCAAGCGUUAAUCGGAAUUACUGGGCGUAAAGCGUGCGCAGGCGGUUGUGCAAGACAGAUGUGAAAUCCCCGGGCUCAACCUGGGAACUGCAUUUGUGACUGCACAGCUUGAGUGCGGCAGAGGGGGAUGGAAUUCCGCGUGUAGCAGUGAAAUGCGUAGAUAUGCGGAGGAACACCGAUGGCGAAGGCAAUCCCCUGGGCCUGCACUGACGCUCAUGCACGAAAGCGUGGGGAGCAAACAGG
rnacentral:rRNA from 1 species